UUGUCCUGCUGUAUUUUCCCUCUUUGGAACAGCAGGCAAUUUUUAGAAGUUUUUUUCUUGAGUCUGUUGGUGCCCAAGCAUGGAUUCUGAAAUUCAGAGAGAAUGAAAUGACUGAAGGGAAGUUGAGCCACCACGUUAAAGGAAGGGAAAAUGCAGUUGCAGGUGAAUUCUGGGAGUAGAAGAGAGAAUAAAAGUGAAUAAAAGAACAGCUGCAAACCUCCACGAACUCAGUGGACCUUGGGAGAAGAAUGAGAAGAGUAACAGGCACUGCAACAUUGGAAAGAGUGCUGCACUUGGCAUUUGACAUCCCGGCUCUGCUUCUCAUGAAUUGGGUCCCUUUGCAAGCAGCUUC